GGGGAAUUUUGGACAAUGGGGGCAACCCUGAUCCAGCAAUGCCGCGUGUGUGAAGAAGGCCUUCGGGUUGUAAAGCACUUUUGUCCGGGAAGAAAUCGCACCUGAUAAUACCGGGUGUGGAUGACGGUACCGGAAGAAUAAGGACCGGCUAACUACGUGCCAGCAGCCGCGGUAAUACGUAGGGUCCAAGCGUUAAUCGGAAUUACUGGGCGUAAAGCGUGCGCAGGCGGUUGUGCAAGACCGAUGUGAAAUCCCCGGGCUUAACCUGGGAAUUGCAUUGGUGACUGCACGGCUAGAGUGUGUCAGAGGGGGGUAGAAUUCCACGUGUAGCAGUGAAAUGCGUAGAGAUGUGGAGGAAUACCGAUGGCGAAGGCAGCCCCCUGGGAUAACACUGACGCUCAUGCACGAAAGCGUGGGGAGCAAAC
rnacentral:rRNA from 1 species